rnacentral:rRNA from 1 species
AGCAGCCGCGGUAAUUCCAGCUCCAAUAGCGUAUAUUAAAGUUGUUGCAGUUAAAAAGCUCGUAGUUGAAUUUCGGGGUUAGUAGGUUGGUCAUGCCUCUGGUAUGUACUGGUCUCACUGAUUCCUCCUUCCUGAUGAACCUUAAUGCCAUUAAUUUGGUGUUUUGGGGAAUUUGGACUGUUACUUUGAAAAAAUUAGAGUGUUUAAAGCAAGCUAACGCUUGAAUACAUUAGCAUGGAAUAAUGAAAUAGGACGUUCGAUCCUAUUUUGUUGGUUUCUAGGAUUGACGUAAUGAUUAAUAGGGAUAGUUGGGGGCAUUAGUAUUCAAUUGUCAGAGGUGAAAUUCUUGGAUUUAUUGAAGACUAACUACUGCGAAAGCAUUUGCCAAGGAUGUUUUCAUUAAUCAAGAACGAAAGUUAGGGGAUCGAAGACGAUCAGAUACCGUCGUAGUCUUAACCAUAAACUAUGCCGACUAGGGAUCGGAUG